GUGUCGCUGAUAAGACGCUGUUAUCGUGCAUGGUGUUUGGCGCAAAUUCACAUCAAAUAUAUGUUAACGAAAAUAGGUCGAACUUUGAACGGUGGGUCAUGGAUGAUCUAGAGUCAGAACUGAGGGUGCCCGGUGAAGAACAGGGCGAAAAUGAGUCUUCAGAUGACGAUGAAUCAAUCAACAGAAAACGAAUCAACAAGCCAAACCUUCCCCUGGCGCCUCCUUUAUUUAAAGAGACACCCCGUGAGACUGGCUUUCACAAGACCACAAGGAACUGCCUCCAGCACAUUAGGGAGGUCUUGCUGCACCAUAGAUGGCAGGAUGCCGCAGAGUACAUGGCCAGUUACUCACAGACACUGGAGGAUACCACCGCAAACAUGCCACAACUCUACGCUGAGAUAAUUUGGAGGAUAGGCACAGAGAUACUACACCACCAUCCCGACUCGAAGCUGGAAGACUACAACAGUUUCUAUGAGCGAGUGAAACACUCGGGAGUAAAGCAUUACCUGAAGGUCUGUCUGGAGCACUCGUUCCAUCUCCUGGUCAAUGGGCAGUUUGAGGAUGCCAAACUUCAGCUGUCCAUCGCUGAGAGCUGGAGGUAUGGCAAGCAGUCAGCCGGUCAGUCCCAGAGGAUUAGGCUGAUCCAGGCCUAUAGUGGGUUCCUGGAUUACUUCAUCUGGUGUGACAAGAAAGCCACUGCAUCCAGCACAGAUGAGUAUGAUGCAGCUGUCAACCAAGAAAUGCAUAGCUACUUCCGACAAUCUUCUGUGAACCUGAAGGAGAUCAUGAAGCUUCCUGGCGUCUGGGAUCCUUUUGUUCUGAGUUACAUUGAUAUGCUGGAAUUCUACAACGAUCACGAGGGAGCUGUGAAGGUUCUAAAUGACUAUGCCUAUGACGACAGUUUCCCACCCAACCCCAAUGCCCAUGUCUACCUAUACCGGUACAUGAAGAAACAGAACCACCCACAGAAGAAACUUCUCAAAGUGCUGAAGAUCCUGCAUACAUUGGUCCCAAGUCAUGAGUUGAUGCCGGAAUACUGUUCUCUUCUGGUACAGUCGGAGAAUGAGGGUGAUCUUCAAAAGGCUCUAGGUGUGGUUCUGGAUCUCCUGGACUACUCCAGUUGGAGGAGCAACUUGGAUGUCUGGAACCAUUUGAUGAACAUCAUCAAGAGACUGAGGAUGAAAAAACAAUGGCUGAAGAUUUUUGCAGAGGAGAUGGAGUACAGAAAGGACUGGUGGCUAGCAAUACACUUCUCAACAUUCCAGGCCAGGAAAGAUUCGGCAGAGAAUAGAGAGCUACUGGAAGUGAAGAGCUUUGUGGUUGGAGACUUUUGUCCUCACUAUGCCUCCAUGUACUGCGGUGUUGGUAAGGCAGCCCGAAAAGGAGUAACUUCUGAGGCUCGAAAGGCUAAGAGGAAUCCUAAACCGCAAAGAAAUAUAAGAAGGCUCAGAAGAGAAAGGGGACAGCAAAGCCAAGACUGACCUUGAGGAAGCUCCUGGAAUGCCACCAGGCACAGUGGCGAGAACAAACAUUUAGAAAAUUUGUGAAGAGCUUCUACCAUUGCCAAGAUCGGCAGGCAUGACCACCUCAUAGUCAUCAGUUAGUCUUUUCCCAUCUCUGCAACUCCCGUACGGACUCCGGAGAGGCGAAGGUCGAGAGCUGUGCUUCCUCUGAAACAACCCAGCCAAGCCGCACUGCUUCUUGACACAAUGCCCGCUUAACCUGGAAUCCAGGCCCACCAAUGUUGGAGGAUACACCGUACACCUGGCGACUGUGUCAGAGUGCAUUGCGCCAGGCCCGCCACAGGAGUCGCUAGUGCGCGAUGGGACAAGAACAUCCCCUAACCUGGACGACGCUGGGCCAAUUGUGCGCCGCCCCAUGGGUCUCCCGGUCGCGGCCCGGCUGCGACAGUCUGGACUCGAACCAGGAUCUCUAGUGGCACAGCUAGCACUGUGAUGCAGUGCCUUUGACCACUGUGCCACUCAGGAGGCCUUAACUAUUCUUUUUCUAAUCUUGUAUCUCAAUGUCCAUGGGCAUAGUCUUAAAGUAGUGACAUGAGUCCAAUCAAAUGUUUUUUUCUUUGCGGUAUUAUGUUCAGGCAUUCAUCAGUCUUGUCCUAUUUUCCUUGAUGCCCAUUUCUCUCCUUAUUUUCUCUCCUUUUUCUCAAACAGUGUCCUAGUUGAACUCCUCAUGCAUACAUGCAAAUUUCACACAUCUGCCAUCAUUCUGUAUUUGCAAGGGAUCAUUGGCUCUGAAAGCAUCUGCCUCGUAACUCUAUUUGAGCUUAGGUAAAAGAGCCCGGGGCUUUUACCUAAGUUUGUGGGUUUGAGUUGGGGUCACUUCAGGCUUUCUUCCACGCCACCUCCACAUGUCCAGAGAGUGGACCCAGCUGAGGCCACAAAUUCUGGGGCUUCUUUUCUGUCUGUCCACUCUGGUGUGGUGCCACAACUAAGUGCUCGCUCACAACUUUGCAUUGACCUGGCUGCGAAUGCUCUCAUCAAUCAACCAUAAGAGACUUUGCAGUUCGCUCAGAGGAGAGUGUGUCUUGGUUGGGAGGUGCUGCAUUUCCUCUGCAUUACAAGUGGCCUAUAUCAUCUUUAACCUCCACUUGGGUCUCAGGUACCCCCAAAGCCCCCACCACACCUCACUCCUAUAUCUUGUAUUUCAUUUAGGUUACUUGAAUAAUGUACUGUUCAUUUUUAUGUCACCUUGUUUUUCCUCUUCUGUGGGACUUGUAUGCUGCCCUACACAUGCUCUAGAGUCUACUCAGUCAUUCUCAUGGGCUCUUGCACUGUGCCUUUGUCUAACAUCUCAGGGGCUUGCCCCACAUUGGGCCCCAUGCCAAUUUUAAUAAGCUUAAGUGCUUGUAAUGAUUCUGUUGUAGCAGCUCACCUUAACGAUGGCCAUGCAUGCAGUCAGUGUGUGCUUCCCAAAUGGCACUCUAUUCCCAAUGUAGUACACUACUUUUGGGAGUGCACUAUAGGGAAUAGGGUGCCAUUUGGGAUGCUUUUCAGUUGACCAGGGGAUGUGGCUCUAUGAUUCUAUCUGCUCUGCAGUCAUUACAUAACUAGAGCCCAGAGCACUAGGGAAGGCUAGUUAGCCAAACCACAGAGCAGCUGCUCUGGGGAGUGAAGGCAGAGAGGGGGGGCGUCAUCUGAGAAUUCAACCUCACAGGGAGCAAUUAAGGGAAGAUAGAAAGAACUGUUGUAAUGAUUGUUGAUGGUUGCCAUGGACACUGGACACUAAUAAUUUUUGGCUUAAUUUGUAUACAUUUGCAUUUUUUCUGCAGAUGAAUAUUCUGUGUAUCUUAAUUAUAUCCUAAAAAUUUACAUCAGUUUAAAUGCGAAUGAAGCCUCUGGUCAUGGCUCCUUAUGGAGGGGUCAGGCAGCAACAGUGAAGUCAGACAAUUUUGUUGCACGCUGCCAUGGCUUGGGACGGUUGAUUGAUAUUGAUGAAAGCUAGGAGAAUUGUGCUACAUGUAUCAAUAACUAUACUGACCUCAGGCCUAGAGUGAUGGUCUAUAGUGCUUGUAAAAAUCUACCUUCAGGCCUCCCGAGUGGCUCAGCAGUCUAAGGCACUACUUUGCAGUGCUACAGGCGCCCCCACCCGCUGUGAAUGGGAGACCCAUGAGGCUGCGCACAAUUGGCCCAGAGUCGUCCUUGUUAGGGGAUGGUUUGGCCGGCGGGAUGUCCUUGUCCCAUCGCGCUCUAGCGACUCCUUGUGACGGCCCGGGGGCAUCCAUGCUGACUUCGGGUGCCAACUGUACAGUGUUUCCUCCGACACAUUGGUGCGGCAGGUUUCCGGGAUUAAACGUGCUGUGUGUCAAGAAGCAGUGCGGUUUGGCGGGGUUGUGUUUCGGAGGGUGCAUGGCUUUUGACCUUCACCUCUCUAGAAUCCGUAUGGGAGUUCCCGCGAUGGGACAAGACUGUAACUACCGAUUUGAAUAUCACGAAAAAGGGGGUAAAAAGUACUGAAAAAAAUCAUCUACAGUUGAAGUUGGGAGUUUACAUACUUGUAUUGUAGUCAGUAAAACUACAAUACCACUCCACAAAUGUUUCAACCACUCCACAAAUUUCUUGUUAACAAACUAUAGUUUUGGCAAGUCUGUUAGGACAUCUACUUGCAUGACUCAAGUAAUUUUUUGUUUACAGGCAGGUUAUUUCACUUAUAAAUCACUGUAUCACAAUUCCAGUGGGUCAGAAGUUUACAUACACUAAGUUGACUGUGCAUUUUAAACAGCUUGGAAAAUUCCAGAAAAUGACAUUGCU